GGAGCAAGUCCGCUGUGAAACCUGGGAGCAGUUCUCUGAAUCUGAAUGGAUGUUCCUUAAAGGAGACCUGGAACUAAAACACGGUUCUGUCUGCCAGCACCACCUCCGACUCCACGAUCCGCUCCAUAUUUCCAUAACAGCUGAUUUAAUAUUCCUCUUCUGUGUCUGCUAUCUUAAGACAAUAGAGUGUGCACACCCUCAGACAACACAUGAUCAGUGUCUCCACAUGCUGUUAGUAACACUGCUGUUUAAAGAUGGAGAACAUGGAGCUGUAAACAGAGUUUAUUAAAGGGAUAGUUCGGCCUUUUAAAGGGAGGUCGUGGGAGUUUUUGCCCCUUUAAUGAGAUCCAGCGCACAAACUAGUUAUACGCUCUACAAAGUCAUUACUCGGCACUUUGGUUUUGUAGGAUUUCCAGACCCUCCAGACUCAGGGCCUUUUUUUUAUCCGUAUAUUUCUGAAGUUAGUUUUAGGUUGGAUAUAUUUUCCUGUAAAUACGGCGGUGAAGUUAGUUUUAGGUUGGAUAUAUUUUCCUGUAAAUACGGCGGUGAAGUUAGUUUCAGGUUGGAUAUAUUUUCCUGUAAAUACGGCGGUGAAGUUAGUUUCAGGUUGGAUAUAUUCUCCUGUAAAUACGGCGGUGAAGUUAGUUUCAGGUUGGAUAUAUUUUCCUGUAAAUACAGCGGUGAAGUUAGUUUCAGGUUGGAUAUAUUUUCCUGUAAAUACGGCGGUGAAGUUAGUUUCAGGUUGGAUAUAUUCUCCUGUAAAUACGGCGGUGAAGUUAGUUUCAGGUUGGAGAUAUUUUCCUAUAAUACGGCGGUGAAGUUAGUUUCAGGUUGGAUAUAUUCUCCUGUAAAUACGGCGGUGAAGUUAGUUUCAGGUUGGAUAUAUUUUCCUGUAAAUACAGCGGUGAAGUUAGUUUCAGGUUGGAUAUAUUUUCCUGUAAAUACGGCGGUGAAGUUAGUUUCAGGUUGGAUAUAUUCUCCUGUAAAUACGGCGGUGAAGUUAGUUUCAGGUUGGAUAUAUUUUCCUGUAAAUACAGCGGUGAAGUUAGUUUCAGGUUGGAUAUAUUUUCCUGUAAAUACGGCGGUGAAGUUAGUUUCAGGUUGGAUAUAUUCUCCUGUAAAUACGGCGGUGAAGUUAGUUUCAGGUUGGAUAUAUUUUCCUGUAAAUACGGCGGUGAAGUUAGUUUCAGGUUGGAUAUAUUCUCCUGUAAAUACGGCGGUGAAGUUAGUUUCAGGUUGGAUAUAUUUUCCUGUAAAUACAGCGGUGAAGUUAGUUUCAGGUUGGAUAUAUUUUCCUGUAAAUACGGCGGUGAAGUUAGUUUUAGGUUGGAUAUAUUUUCCUGUAAAUACGGCGGUGAAGUUAGUUUCAGGUUGGAUAUAUUCUCCUGUAAAUACGGCGGUGAAGUUAGUUUUAGGUUGGAUAUAUUCUCCUGUAAAUACGGCGGUGACGUUAGUUUUAGUUUGGAUAUAUUUUCCUGUAAAUACGGCGGUGAAGUUAGUUUCAGGUUGGAUAUAUUUUCCUGUAAAUACGGCGGUGAAGUUAGUUUCAGGUUGGAUAUCUGACGGACAUUCUCUGAGGAUCUACCGGUGUCUUCUCACUCUCCAUAACCGGGAAUAACAACAGCAGCGCGGUUAAAUCUACUCGACACCCUCACUGUCAACGUCGGUGUUGAAUAAGGGACCGUCAAUAAAUUACCGGUUGAUGUUCUCAGAAAAGGCUGUUUUCCUUCAAUAGCUUCACUGUCAUGUGACCAAAAGAACUAAAAUUGAUGUCUAAAAAUAGUACUAAGGUCGAUCAAUAAGACAAACGUCAUUUCAUACCUGCCAACAUUUGGAUUAUAAAAUCGGGGAGAUAUUUGCGGCAGUUUGGAGGUUCCCUUGUCUUGUGGAUAUGAGCUCAUUAUGAGAGUAUUUGUAGUUAGAUUGCUCAUCCAAAUAAGUCGAAGUGAAGCUGCACUCUUUUCUGUUUUAACAGUAACAAAUG
rnacentral:lncRNA from 1 species